rnacentral:misc_RNA from 1 species
GGAAGUAAAAGUCGUAACAAAGUUUCCGUAGGUGAACCUGCGGAAGGAUCAUUCAUAAUAAGUGUUUUACUGCACUUUUUAAAAAUAGUACUCACCUUGUGUGCAAUGUUGUGUUUCUUUUCGGAGAAACACCUACACCAACCUAUAACCUUGAACCACUUUGUCUGAAAAACUAUUAUGAAUACUUAAUUCAAUAUACAACUUUCAACAACGGAUCUCUUGGCUCUC